ACGCUCGACACCUAGGAGGCAGCAGUCGGGAAUAUUGCGCAAUGGGAGGAAACUCUGACGCAGUGACGCCGCGUGCAGGAAGAAGGUUUUCGGAUUGUAAACUGCUUUAGGAACAGGGAAGAAAGAAAUGACAGUACCUGUAGAAUAAGCUCCGGCUAACUACGUGCCGGCAGCCGCGGUAAUCUGAGCGGCUGGCAAGGC
rnacentral:rRNA from 1 species